GAUCCUGGCUCAGGAUGAACGCUAGCGACAGGCUUAACACAUGCAAGGUCGAGGGGCAUCACGGGAGUAGCAAUACAACUGGUGGCGACCGGCGCACGGGUGAGUAACGCGUAUGCAACCUACCUAUCAGAGGGGAAUAACCCGGCGAAAGUCGGACUAAUACCGCAUAAAACAGGGGCACCGCAUGGUGAUAUUUGUUAAAGAAAUUCGCUGAUAGAUGGGCAUGCGUUCCAUUAGGUAGUUGGUGAGGUAACGGCUCACCAAGCCGACGAUGGAUAGGGGAACUGAGAGGUUGGUCCCCCACACUGGUACUGAGACACGGACCAGACUCCUACGGGAGGCAGCAGUGAGGAAUAUUGGUCAAUGGGCGGGAGCCUGAACCAGCCAAGUCGCGUGAAGGAAGAAGGAUCUAUGGUUCGUAAACUUCUUUUGCAGGGGAAUAAAGUGCAGGACGUGUCCUGUUUUGUAUGUACCCUGAGAAUAAGGAUCGGCUAACUCCGUGCCAGCCGCCGC
rnacentral:rRNA from 1 species